AUUGAACGCUGGCGGCAUGCUUUACACAUGCAAGUCGAACGGCAGCGGGGGCUUCGGCCUGCCGGCGAGUGGCGAACGGGUGAGUAAUGCAUCGGAACGUGCCCAUGUCGUGGGGGAUAACGUAUCGAAAGGUACGCUAAUACCGCAUACGCCCUGAGGGGGAAAGCGGGGGAUUCUUCGGAACCUCGCGCGAUUGGAGCGGCCGAUGUCGGAUUAGCUAGUAGGUGAGGUAAAGGCUCACCUAGGCGACGAUCCGUAGCGGGUCUGAGAGGAUGAUCCGCCACACUGGGACUGAGACACGGCCCAGACUCCUACGGGAGGCAGCAGUGGGGAAUUUUGGACAAUGGGCGCAAGCCUGAUCCAGCCAUGCCGCGUGAGUGAAGAAGGCC
rnacentral:rRNA from 1 species